UACGGAGGGUGCAAGCGUUAUCCGGAUUCACUGGGUUUAAAGGGUGCGUAGGCGGGCAGGUAAGUCCGUGGUGAAAUCUCUGAGCUUAACUCAGAAACUGCCAUGGAUACUAUUUGUCUUGAAUAUUGUGGAGGUGAGCGGAAUAUGUCAUGUAGCGGUGAAAUGCUUAGAUAUGACAUAGAACAUCAAUUGCGAAGGCAGCUCACUACACAGUUAUUGACGCUGAGGCACGAAAGCGUGGGGAUCAAACAGG
rnacentral:rRNA from 1 species